rnacentral:misc_RNA from 1 species
GGAGAAGAGAGCACAUGGCCUCGAUACCGCUGGGACCUCAGCACCAUAAUCCGCCGGAAAAUCACCAUCACCACCACCUUCAGCCGCCGCCGCAGCUCGUGCAGCAGCAGCAGCAACAGCCUGUGAAUCGUGAACUAGGAGGAGGAGGAGGAGCUGCAGUAAGGAACGCCGGAGCACGACCGGAAAUGGAAUCCGAAAAGGAAAUGUCAGCUGCUGUUGUUGAGGGUAAUGGUGCCGUCACUGGUCACAUAAUUUCCACCACCAUUGGAGGCAAGAAUGGAGAACCAAAAAGGACCAUCAGUUAUAUGGCAGAGCGAGUUGUCGGUACAGGGUCCUUUGGGAUAGUGUUUCAGGCAAAAUGCUUGGAAACUGGAGAGACUGUGGCCAUAAAGAAGGUUUUACAGGACAAACGGUAUAAAAAUCGUGAACUACAACUGAUGCGCUUGAUGGAUCACCCAAAUGUCAUUACUCUAAAGCACUGCUUCUUUUCCACGACUAGUAGAGAUGAGCUUUUUCUUAAUUUGGUCAUGGAUUAUGUCCCUGAAAGUUUAUACAAGGUUUUAAAGCACUAUAGCAAUUCAAAUCAAAGGAUGCCACUCAUAUAUGUCAAACUUUACAUGUAUCAGAUAUUCAGAGGGCUGGCUUACAUUCAUAAUGUUCCAAGGAUUUGCCAUAGAGAUGUGAAACCUCAAAAUCUUUUGGUUGAUCCUCUGACCCAUCAAGUCAAGCUGUGUGAUUUU